rnacentral:snRNA from 1 species
GGGUGUGACCGCUUCCUAGUGGCAGUAUCUGUCACCCAUUGGCCAUCGGGCUUGAGUCUGCUGAUCUGGCUAACUAGGUAGGUGUUCUCCUCUCUCACUGUUCCUGGAGCUGUGCACUGGACUGAAGAGGGCUACCUCCCACAACAGAGGAUAGUGCUUUGGCCAAGGGUAAAUAGGAAGCCGUGAGCUCCUGCUAGAAUCCUCAAACGAGCUCUGGAGAUUAUAGAGAUCGAGUGUCCACAACCUGGUCCAUGUGCUUCGGGCCGAUGGUGCUUUAGAUUUUAGAU